AAUGUUUUGAACAGCCAACAAUAAAAAAUUAAAAAAAAAAAAAAAAAAAGAUUCCUUCCGCAGAGCGGAACCGACUGUGGCCUCGCACUUACGCUGCAUUGGGUGUCCUGAGCCAUCCAGAGGCCACCUGAAGCACGCAGGAGCUGUGCCUAGGCACGGACAAGCGUGAUGCCAUUCUGCACAAGGGACUCGAGUGUCCCAGCAUUGGGUAUCCUAGGGAUCCUGGGCCAGUUCCCUGCAACACCAGGGAUGGCUGUUCUCGGAGGCCUCCUCUGCCAGGAGAUCACCCCACACAGAAGCACCCGUCAGUCGCUGCACCCAACUCUCAACCUGCACCCAAC
rnacentral:lncRNA from 1 species